rnacentral:lncRNA from 1 species
CGCACCCUCUCUUUCACAUUAUCUUCUCUGCCUCAACCCUAUUGAUGUUCCUUUUCUUUGAAUCGAUGUAGUUCGCGCCAAACAACUCUCAAGGUACGCUUUCUUGUUCAGAACCUCUAAUCUAUGAUAAUCGCUUCCUUCUUCGAAACCUUCACUCCAUGUAAAUUCACUGUUCCUCACUUCAAAAUUUUACUCUGUUAAGUUACUGUUCCUUAUUACAAUGUUUAAGGCGAAAUUUGUUUUGUAUGCAAUGUUCGCGUCGAUUAUUGUGUGCAUGUUUUUGGAUGAAGUGAUUGAACAUUACUAUUUAUUUAGGCCAUGAAAUUGUUUGAAGACAAUUUUCUGUUGCCAGUUUUUGAGUUAAGAGUUGUUUUCGUUGCUAAUAGGAAUCA